UAAGUCGUCAGUGCACCCGGUUGGAGG
rnacentral:sRNA from 1 species